rnacentral:lncRNA from 1 species
CACACACACACACACACACACACACACACACACACACAAAGAUGAAUGGGCCGGAAAUGCUGAGCCUGUUUGGGUGUGUUUGCACAAGGAGGGGGUCUGCAGGCUGAGGAGAGGUAGACUGCCUGCAGUCUGCACCCCGGAGGAGGUGGCUGCAGAGCUCUUCCUCCAUUGCCUUUUCAAGUCUUCAAGGUAAAAGAGCAACCUCACUUUGGUUUCACUUGUAUUGUUCUAUAAUCCAGGCAAUAAAUGCUAAUUAGCAAUGCUCAAGGAUCCGACCAUUCAGAGUAAUUAUCAUAAUUUACUUCUUCCUCGUUAAAGACAUUCCUUGCUGAUUUAAAAAAAAAAAAAUCAAGUCAU